CGGCAGUCUGACACUGGCAUGCGCACUACAGCUCUCGCCGUGUCUACUCAGUAUAACAGGCUGCUAGUAAGCAUCAUCAGCGACCACAUAUGCUCAGUCCCAAUUCCUGUUUCCGCCCCUCGACAGGUUUAUUUUCAAUGCUAUUCUGGCGCCGGAGCAUCUUGCUGAACUUCACCGGGGCCCGGCCAUCCUGCGGAGCAGCAACGCGCUGAUGCAAGGUGCAGCUGGUGGAGUGUCAUGUGUUGGAUUGCAAUUGUGAAAUCAGUGCAGAGGCACAGUCAAGUAAUGUGAAUGGUCAGCCACUCCACUCUCUUUUGAUCAGCUGGACAUCCGGUACAUCGCACUGAACAGCUCCUGAAUCAACCCAUCACACCAACAAGCGGGACUUAUAACCCAGGACCACAGCCUGUCUUUCUUACUUUCUGAGCCCAGCACACCUCUCCCUUCUCCUAUGCUGUGAGGCCCUGCAGAACCUCCUCCAACCCCCUCCCACACACUGAGUCUAGAGGUCAUGUGGUUGUUGACUCUAGUCCCCAAAGCUGGGGGAUCUGUGAUGCCCACCCACCACCUCCUUUGACACCCCACCCCACCUCACCCAG